GCCCCGUGCGCAUCGCAUGUGGCGCCGCCCUCGCAGCUCAAUCGGAAAGUUAGUAGAUGCCCAUUGCCCGUGUGGCCAUGUGAUGACAACAGUCGUUCGGAGUGAGCUCGUGCAUACGGAUUGAACUUGUGAAAAUACAUAAAAAUAUCGGAAAAUAAUGCCUGCCUAAAGAUAUUGUUGUGAUGUUGGGUGCAACAACUCAGAACAAAAUAGUCGGCAAUUAAAAUUUUACUCGUUUCCGAGAAAAAGCUAUGAAAUUGACCGAAGGAAAAAGUGGAUACAAGCUGUGAGAUGAGUUAGUGCAGCAACAAACCGUGGGAGCCGAACGUAAACAGUCGCAUCUGCAGUGCUCAUUUUGUUGGCGGUGCGAAAUCAACGAUUGAAAAUAGCCCAUCGUAUAUCCCGACGAUUUUUCCACCAAUCUAUAAAAAAGGGCUUUAUCACAAGCAGCCGCUGCUCGAUAUGAUCGACUCCGCAAACGAAAGAUUUCAAACCCAUCGGAGGUACGCGUGGAGGCUGUAGCACAAGAAAAUAUCGAAACAGGGUUGCAAGAAGUUGGGGAGACUUCUACUUCUAUAAGUUUAGGCUGCCAAACAGAUGCACAUAAUUGUCAAGAACAAAACAACACAAAAAUUAUAUUUUUAGUCACACAAGGACCACAGCACCAGUGCCAUACGAAAACAGUGGAAAACGAAAGAGCAAAGCAUUAAUUUAUUAGUGCAAGAGGCUAGUGAAAUUGCUAUGAAACUAGAAUCUACAAUUACUCUAAAAAUACUUAUUUAGUUUAAUCAAAAUUUGAAGUAACUGUAAAAAUUCAUGAUUUAGUGUCGCUUGCAUCAGAUCUUAAUAAUACAAUUUACA